GCCAGCAUAGUGUAGUGGUUUGAGCUUUGGGCUCUGACUCUGGAGACCAAGGUUCAAUUCCCUGCUUGGCC